CAGUAGGGAGGAAGGUAGUGUAGUUAACACCUGCAUUAUUUGACGUUACCUACAGAAGAAGCACCGGCUAACUCCGUGCCAGCAGCCGCGGUAAUACGGAGGGUGCGAGCGUUAAUCGGAAUUACUGGGCGUAAAGCGCAUGCAGGCGGCCUGUUAAGUCAGAUGUGAAAGACCCGGGGCGUUAACCUCGGAAUUGCAUUUGUAAACUGGCAGGCUAGAGUCUUGUAGAGGGGGGUAGGAAUUUCAGGUGUAGCGGUGAAAUGCGUAGAGAUCUGAAGGAAUACCAGUGGCGAAGGCGGCCCCCCUCGGACAAAGACUGACGCUCAGAUGCGAAAGCCGUGGGGACGCAAACAGGACUUAGACUACCCCUGGUAG
rnacentral:rRNA from 1 species